UAGUCUUUGGUUAUAAUUCACUCUUGCCUGUUUCGCCAUGGUUUUCAUGCUCUAUUUUUUUCUUGUGUUUUCCUGCAGGUCAACUCCUCAUGUUUGUUUAUCCUCUGUUUAUUUGACAAUCACUUUUAUCUUAGUAUGCUGAGUCAUGUCUAGUUUGUUUUGUAACUGAAUGCCAAAACCACAUACUCAUCUUACUGCACAACAAGUCUACCUACACAUAUAAAUAAAUUAACCUGAAUCUGAAAAAAUAAAAAGAAGGUGAGUGAUGUUGUCUUGCUGCAGAUGAAGUACAGUUGAGGAUCAGAUGGCGCCAGGAUCCAUAACACAACCAAGUGAUGAUGGAUAUCGGCUGACAAAGCCACAAGGUGCUGAUGGAGGCUGUAAGGAAGCAGGACUCUGAACUCUGAGAUCUUUGACUCUGUGGUGUGGAACAUUUCCAGGUAUGCAGCCCUGGACAGCAGCAACAUUCCUCGGAUUAAACAUGUUUCCAAACACAGCCAAGACAAUACUACUUCACCUCUGAUCAGAAAUGCAAGAAAACUCUCCAUCUAAUGACAAGGUUGUAUUUCUCAUGCAAUCUUUUAUUGAAGGCUUGAUGAAUGGAAAGAUUGCAUCUUGAAAUUGGUGAAAUACCAGACCAUAUUUACAAUAGCAAAUAAUAAAAUAAAAAUGAAUAUGUGAUACUUAA